rfam:Nitrosococcus halophilus Nc4, complete genome.
CGGGGUAUAGCGCAGCCUGGUAGCGCAUCUGCUUUGGGAGCAGAGGGUCGGGGGUUCAAAUCCCUCUACCCCGA